AGGCAAGCCAAUAUUUUGUGGGCAAUGCAGAGGCAGCGUGGUAGUUGGAACGGUGCAGCGGGCGGCCGGAAAUGGGAAUACGUGGAGGGUUAAAAGAGUAAUUUUGAGCCAAAGAUGAGGCGAUAUGGGAGGGAGUGGCAGGCNNNNNNAAGGGAGGGAAGGGAAGAGAGGGAGAGAGAAGAGAGAGGGAGAGAAUGAAGAAGGUGCAUGGCCACACAAAGUGGAUAAUUAGGGGGAAAAACCUGAGGAGAUAUGGUGGUCUUAAGUGUCUAUUUGCU
rnacentral:misc_RNA from 1 species